CGAGUUUGUGGUUUGGAACAGGUGUAGCACCUCUCAGGUUUCUUCUAAUGUGGGCUAAAAACGUGAGGUAGGUUCAUUGUUGCUAGUUGAAGUACAUGAAAUGAGCCUUGAGAGCUUUGCAAAGUGUCUGGGGUUAGUUUGGGGUUACACUUGAAGUUCCCAGAGUCCCUUAGUCCUGUAUGCAUGAGCCAGAUUCACACAAGCAUAUGCAGACUACGACCUCUCCAUAUGUUAAAGUAGAAACGCAAACAGCGUUUUUAUGUCGUAUGUUAACACACUUAACCUAAACAUUCACUCUUUACAGCAAAUUAACAUGAGAAAUGAUGAUAAUGAUGAAACAUGCUAAAAUAAUGCUGAAAUAAGUCACAUUUCAGUUUGCCAUGCAUCCUUAUUUUGAGGCUGUGUGUAGAUAAGGGUCCUUAAAGAGAUAAAGGCAGGUUUAGUGGCCAAUCUGUUCUAAGUAGUAUGUAAAGCAACAGUGACCUCUAUGGGCAGAACAGAGAACAGCAACACGGAAGAAAAACGUGAUGCCUUAGGACUUAGGAGAACAUGCAAGCUGAGAAAAUUUAAAAAAAUAUUUAAAAAAAAAUCCUCUAAAAGAAACUUUAUAUCUUAAAAGAAUAAUAUUUGCUACAUCACCAUUCAGAGUGUGUAAAUAUAAAAUUAUUGUUUAUAUAAAUUUAUAAAAUUGAUGCUUUCAUUUGUGUGCAUGUGUGUGCAUGUGUGUGUGUGUGUGCGUGCGUGCGUGUGCGUAUGUGUAUGUGUGCACACGCGCUCCUAGAGGGAUUCUGCAUCACUGUGCUGUUGUGUCAGUCUCUCUGCCUACAUGCACUGUACAGAACGUGUCUCUUUGUCUGUCCAUUCCUCUGUCAAUCAUUGUCCAUCACCGUGUGUGUGUGACAGAGACGGAGAGAGAGAGAAAGAGUGAGAGGGAAUGUCUGAAUGUCAGACUGUCUAUCUGUCACCGCUGAUACUAGCAGUUUGCUGGAGGGGAAACAUCCAGAUAUUUCUGCUUGACCGUACACCUGCCCAGCCAGAGACUGCCUCCUUUCACCGCGUGGCCCCUCCGCGGACUGCGGUGAGUGUGUGCGGCUGUUUACGCGCGCGUGCGCGUGAGUCAGACAAAGCAAGACAACGUGUGGCCGGUCGGACAGUGAUUUUAGAAUCUGUUUCACCCUCAGGUGGCUGUCAAGCUGUCAGGAAAGCAGCGUGCUGGUGUCCCUCUGGUUAUCAAACUAUCGCCCAAAUUUGCUCGCCCAUCUAUCGAGGUGGAAAAAGGAACGGCGGGCGGAAGAGGUGGAGAGAGGGACCAGCCUAA
rnacentral:lncRNA from 1 species